GAAGUUGGAGUCGCUAGUAAUCGCAGAUCAGCAACGCUGCGGUGAAUACGUUCCCGGGCCUUGUACACACCGCCCGUCACGUCAUGAAAGUCGGUAACACCCGAAGCCGGUGGCCUAACCCCUUGUGGGAGGGAGCCGUCGAAGGUGGGAUCGGCGAUUGGGACGGAGUCGUAACAAGGUAGCCGUACCGGAAGGUGCGGCUGGAUCACCUCCUUU
rnacentral:rRNA from 1 species